rnacentral:rRNA from 1 species
GACGAACGCUGGCGGCGUGCUUAACACAUGCAAGUCGAACGGUAAGGACAUACGGGGUAAACGAGUGGCGAACGGGUGAGUAACACGUGGCGGAUCUGCCCUGCACUUCGGGAUAAGCCUGGGAAACUGGGUCUAAUACCGGAUAGGACCCUGGGAUGCAUGUCCUGGGGUGGAAAGCUUUUGCGGUGUGGGAUGGGCCCGCGGCCUAUCAGCUUGUUGGUGGGGUGAUGGCCUACCAAGGCGACGACGGGUAGCCGGCCUGAGAGGGUGACCGGCCACACUGGGACUGAGAUACGGCCCAGACUCCUACGGGAGGCAGCAGUGGGGAAUAUUGCACAAUGGGCGCAAGCCGGAUGCAGCGACGCCGCGUGAGGGAUGACGGCCUUCGGGUUGUAAACCUCUUUCAGCACCGACGAAGCGCAAGUGACGGUAGGUGCAGAAGAAGGACCGGCCAACUACGUGCCAGCAGCCGCGGUAA